rnacentral:rRNA from 1 species
AGCAGCCGCGGUAAUUCCAGCUCCAAUAGCGUAUAUUAAAGUUGUUGCAGUUAAAAAGCUCGUAGUUGAAUUUCGGGGUCAGUAGGUUGGUCAUGCCACUGGUAUGUACUGAUCUUACUGAUUCCUCCUUCCUGAUGAACCGUAAUGCCAUUAAUUUGGUGUUGCGGGGAGACUGGACUGUUACUUUGAAAAAAUUAGAGUGUUUAAAGCAGGCUAACGCUUGAAUACAUUAGCAUGGAAUAAUGAAAUAGGACGUUCGAUCCUAUUUUGUUGGUUUCUAGGAUUGACGUAAUGAUUAAUAGGGAUAGUUGGGGGCAUUAGUAUUCAAUUGUCAGAGGUGAAAUUCUUGGAUUUAUUGAAGACUAACUACUGCGAAAGCAUUUGCCAAGGAUGUUUUCAUUAAUCAAGAACGAAAGUUAGGGGAUCGAAGACGAUCAGAUACCGUCGUAGUCUUAACCAUAAACUAUGCCGACUAGGGAUCGGAUGAUGUAAUUUUUAAUGA